AUGCUUGUUAGUGAGGUCCACCUUAAUAAGCUCACCGAUGAUGACAUUGUUUGGAAGCAUAUGACUAGGGGACACUACUCGGCGGCUUCCUCCUAUAAGGCGCAAUUCCUUGGCAUGGUUCUCUCCCCCAUGGACCAAAUUGUUUGGAAAGUUUGGGCGCCACCGAAAUUUAAAUUCUUUGCUUGGUUGGCAAUCCAAGAUAGAAUUUGA
rnacentral:rRNA from 1 species